rnacentral:rRNA from 1 species
AACUAACGCUGGCGGCGUGCCUAACACAUGCAAGUCGUACGAGAAAGUUGGCUUCGGCCGAUGAGUACAGUGGCGCACGGGUGAGUAACGCGUGGAUAAUCUGCCCUUAAGUGUGGAAUAACGUACCGAAAGGUGCGCUAAUACCGCAUAAUGCCUGGCAACAUAAGUUGUCCGGCCAAAGAAGGCCUCUGCUUGCAAGCUUUCGCUAAAGGAUGAGUCCGCGUACCAUUAGCUAGUUGGUGGGGUAACGGCCUACCAAGGCGACGAUGGUUAGCUGGUCCGAGAGGAUGAUCAGCCACACUGGAACUGAGACACGGUCCAGACUCCUACGGGAGGCAGCAGUGAGGAAUAUUGCGCAAUGGGGGCAACCCUGACGCAGCAACGCCGCGUGAGUGAGGAAGGUUUUCGGACUGUAAAGCUCUGUCGAGCGGGAAGAAGUGUACCAUGGCUAAUAUCCAUGAUAUUUGACGGUACCGCUAGAGG